rnacentral:rRNA from 1 species
AAUUUUCUGGGAUUAUAUUAAUUUUUUGUUUGAACUUAUAUUAUUGUUGAAAAUAAUGAUAUUUUCUUUAAGACUAAAAGACCCUAGAAUCUUUUAUAAUAAUUGAAUUAUUUAGUUGGGGUAAUAUAAUUUUUUAAAUUAGUUUAUA